UCUAAUAUAACAAUAAACAUAUUUUACCUUAUCAUUUUGAUCGGAGUCCGUCACCAGUUUUAUAGCUCUAAGGAUAUCCAAAGUGGAAACACAAUAGAGUUCAAGGGUACAGUACACAACUUUAAGGCUUACACCAAGCUCCAGGCAAUUGGAAUCGAUGUUCUCUUUUUCAAUUUGAGCACAAUUUGUUUGUCUUCUUUCUUGAUCUCUCUCGGAUCUCAAAGCUCUACUUGUAUUCUUUUUGUUAGUUUGUAUGCAUAUUAGGAUGUAUACUAAUCGUAGGUCGAUCAUUCUUAUCCACGAGUCGGGCCAUUAUGGAAUUUGAAGCAGGCAAGCUGAAUUUGAG
rnacentral:lncRNA from 1 species